rnacentral:rRNA from 1 species
GAUGAACGCUGGCGGCGCGCCUAACACAUGCAAGUCGAACGAUUAAAGCACCUUCGGGUGUGUAUAAAGUGGCGAACGGCUGAGUAACACGUGGGCAACCUGCCCCUCUCAUUGGGAUAGCCACGGGAAACCGUGGAUAAUACCGAAUACUUCGGGACUUCCGCAUGGAAGACUCGAGAAAGCUCCGGCGGAGAGGGAUGGGCCCGCGGCCUGUUAGCUUGUUGGUGGGGUAAUGGCCUACCAAGGCAAUGAUGGGUAGCUGGGUUGAGAGACCGACCAGCCAGAUUGGGACUGAGACACGGCCCAGACUCCUACGGGAGGCAGCAGUGGGGAAGCUUGCACAAUGGGCGAAAGCCUGAUGCAGCGACGCCGCGUGCGGGAUGAAGGCCUUCGGGUUGUAAACCGCUUUCAGCAGGGACGAGGCGAAAGUGACGGUACCUGCAGAAGAAGCCCCGGCUAACUACGUG